UACGUAGGGGGCAAGCGUUGUCCGGAAUUAUUGGGCGUAAAGAGCGUGUAGGCGGCCAGGUAGGUCUGCUGUGAAAACUCGAGGCUCAACCUCGAGACGUCGGCGGAAACCAUCUGGCUAGAGUCCGGAAGAGGAGGAGUGGAAUUCCUGGUGUAGCGGUGAAAUGCGCAGAUAUCAGGAAGAACACCCGUGGCGAAGGCGGCUGCCUGGCCUGUUCUUGACGCUGAGGCGCGAAGCUGGGGGAGCAAACGGG
rnacentral:rRNA from 1 species